UCAAUAUUCUCAUACUUUGUUCUUGGAUGUCUUUAAUUUAUAUGGAAAGUUUGGUCCUUUGGGGUUUUCUUUUUAAGCUUUGCUAGCAGGACCAGAAAUAAAGGUUGUUUCGAUGGCUAAUUCAUCCUGAACACUGAGGCAAAAUCUUUCUGAGUCCUCCACCAUAUGCUGCCUGAAUUAUAGGUUUUCUAAUUUGUAUGGUGCAAACAGGCACUAUUCCCAGCUCUAUGCAAGCCCAGGUAUUAUUCCCUCUAAUCCUUUCAGGUGCUUCUUUCCCCAGCCUUGGGUAGUUUUCUCACUUGCUCUGAUUAGUAUUUAGCUAAAGACUCUCGGGGAACUUCAGGUAUGUCUCCGGCAUUUUUUCUCUGCUCUCUCCUAUGAAGCUCACUCCUGUCUGAUGUGCUGUCCUGUGAUUUCCAGCUGCCUUGGCUUCUCUGGGCUUUCAGUUUUGUCCUCUCAACUCACAGAGUCUGCAGGUUCCACCCAGGCUCCAUCUCUUGGAAUUGCGACUUGGGAGCUCUCUUAAAGCAAUAAGCUAUGGCAAUCAUAAGCUUACUUGACUUGUUUCCUGUCUCUCAGGGAAGAAUGCACUUAAUUGCCUGAUAUCCAAUGUCUUAAAAAUGCUUGUUUUGUAUAUUUUGGCCAGUUUAAAAAAAUUAUUUUUUAGGCAGAAUGGUAAAUCUGUGCUACUUGGAUUCCUAUGAAUCCUUGAUAGUUCCCCCUGCAGAGAUGGAAGUCACUUCCCCUGACCAGGCCACUAGUAACUUUAGAUGAGAGAAGAGAGUCUCCAGCCUUCAGAGAUGGAAAGCACUUUCCUGGGCUGAGCUCUUUGAUCCAGAGGAGGAAUGUACCUGGGAUACCUUGUGAUGCGAAGUUGGAGGUUGGGAGAUUCCAGGCCUGGAUCACCUUGUGCUGUUGGAUAGAUUAUAAGGGAGGACCUCUGUGAGCAUCCAAGUGUGAACUAUUGAGAAGUUGAAGAGUGGAAAAACGUAAAUAAUGGAGGAAGUUUGCAAAGCAAAAGGGAAUAGGGAUUUCCCAGGAAUAAGUAAGAUUAGCCCUGAGCUAACAUCUGCUGCCAAUCUUCCUCUUUUUGCUGAGGAAGACCAGCCUGAGCUAACAUCCAUGCCCAUCUUCCUCUACUUGAUAUGUGGGACCCCUACAACAGAAUGGCUUGCUGAGUGUGUCCGCACCCGGGAUCCGAACCGGCGAAUCCCGGGCCGCCAAAGUGGAACGUGCAAACUUAACUGCUGAGCCACCGGGCCAGCCCUUGAUCCUUAUUUUUUGUAAAUUAUCAGAGAGGUGGUGGCUGCCUGGAGGGCCGGAGGAGCAGCAGAGAACACAGCAGCCAACCCUGUCAGAGCGCCUACCCGCAUCCCCCAGCACUCAGUGGCUCAGUGCUCACAGACUUCCAACUGCAACGCAACCCUGUCAGAGCGCCUACCCGCAUCCCCCAGCACUCAGUGGCUCAGUGCUCACAGACUUCCAACUGCAACGCAACCCUGUCAGAGCGCCUACCCGCAUCCCCCAGCACUCAGUGGCUCAGUGCUCACAGACUUCAACUGCAACGCAACCCUGUCAGAGCGCCUACCUGCAUCCCCCAGCACUCCGUGGCUCAGUGCUCACAGACUUCAACUGCAACGCCUUGCUUAGGGACUUCCUAUGGCCUCUAGAGCUGGCAGUUAGUGUGGGCCAGGCAGGCAGAAAGUGCCUUGCCCGUAAUACCCCUGGAAACAGUCAAGGACUGGCUGGAGUUGGUGGAAAAUACCCUGGCGGAAGGCAACUCUGAGGCAUGCUCCAUGUGCCCUCGCAGAGGUCCCCAGUGGACCUGAGCCCCACCUGCCCGUGGAGCUAACCUGCUCAUUAGUGCACCACGCACUGGCUUCCUUCAGUUCCUUAUCUUAACUCCCCAUUCCCUUAUGAUGGGAUUGACUCCCAAAUCAAUGUUUUGCACUCAAAUCUUCCUCUCAGGGUCUGUGUCUGGGGGAACCUAACGUAAGACAAAUACCAUGCGUGAGGUUUAACAUGAGCACAGACCACGGAAGUGGCUGCUUGCACACCAGGUGUUUUGCAGCCCUCAUUUGAGUGUUGAGAAGAGAAGUCGUAGGUGUGUGGCUGUGCAACAUUGUGCUGUCAUCGGUAAAGUCAGGGAAGAAUAGCUACCUCCCAGGUUUUGGAAAAAAUAAACUACAUGAUUCUCCUGCAUGUGCUUUUCUUUUAACAACGUCAGAUUGUGUUUAUGAGUAAAGUUGAUAGAAGUUAGAUUGAUGCAUCUGUCCAAGGAUUGGCCUACAGAAAAUCAGUUCUCCUCAAAAAAUGAUACAGGAAGGGCUCAGCCAAUCCUGGCUGAUCCCAGACCUGAAUCCACCAGAGACAGUUAUUGCCAUCAUGAGAUGCUUAGAACAAAAGAACAUGGAUUAAGUUAGAACCUAUGUUCCAAGUCAGUCUCAACGUAAAAGUACUUUUCAAAACUUGAGGGAUGUAGCUAGCAUAUUGUUGGCAAAGUACUAAAGUCUCCUGAGUUAGUUCAGAGGAGAAGCAACAUACAAAAGGUGUUGAGAAAUGGUGGAGGGUGAGGAAGAACUCUGGAAACAAAAAAAAAGAGAAAGAUCUGAUUAUUUAGCCUCACCAAGGCUCAGUUUGUCCAUCUGUAAAACAGAGGUAAUGGGACCCUCAAGGUUGUAGCAAAGAAUAGAUGUUAAUGCGGUGCCGGGCACAUGGUAUUCACACAAUGCAUGCAAGCUGUAUUGUUAAUAUUAUGACUAUUUGGCUGAAACUGCAUAAACUAGCCUCAUGUCAUCCGCAAGAUUAUAACAUAGUUUACAUAAUUACAUGGGUUUGUUUAUACGGACUACUGCAGUCUUUUAAUUAUGCUCGGGAAUGCUAGAACUCAACAAUCGGGGCUCGUGGCUCUGAAGUUCCAUUAGUUCUGGCUGCACGAUUAUAUUGUAUAGUAAUCCAGUGUGUUUUUUUCCAAUAAAAGAUUGUGUAAAAAGUCUAUUCAUUUCUUACUGCUGCAGCAAGACAACAUCUUUUGGAGAGGAAGAUGUGGGGUUCCGUUUUAAAGGAAGCGAUUCCUAUUGCUUGGCGGUACAAAUUCAUCCUCAAGAGCUACUGGAAAUCAAUUAAAUUUGGUCUUCACUGUGGAAUCUGAGGAGCGCCUGUGGUUAAAAUGGCUGCUUUGGGCAGAGCAAAGAGGUGAAUGUUUGUCCUGCUGCUUCCUGGAACUCAUUGGCUUAAAAUAAUUUUCUUGAAGCAAAUAAGAUGAAAGAAGCUGAGGAAGAGGAUGGAGUUUUGAAUGGCCUGCAAAGGCCAAUGUGGCCCCUUGUUUUCCAGGACAAGGACAGCUCACCUCGUGAGAUUACAAAGGGAAAGCUUGACUGCGAGGUUAUCUGCCACUGUGCAGAAUCCACUGCCUCCUGAGUUUGGUGUCUGCAUCGCAGAAGUGUGAUCUCUCUCACAGUGUUGCAAUUUAUGAGAAUUUCUUGCAUGA
ensembl:lncRNA